AACGAACGCUGGCGGCAGGCUUAACACAUGCAAGUCGAGCGCCCCGCAAGGGGAGCGGCAGACGGGUGAGUAACGCGUGGGAAUCUACCCAUCUCUACGGAAUAACGCAUGGAGACGUGUGCUAAUACCGUAUACGUCCUUCGGGAGAAAGAUUUAUCGGAGAUGGAUGAGCCCGCGUUGGAUUAGCUAGUUGGUGGGGUAAAGGCCUACCAAGGCGACGAUCCAUAGCUGGUCUGAGAGGAUGAUCAGCCACACUGGGACUGAGACACGGCCCAGACUCCUACGGGGGGCAGCAGUGGGGAAUAUUGGACAAUGGGCGCAAGCCUGAUCCAGCCAUGCCGCGUGAGUGAUGAAGGCCCUAGGGUUGUAAAGCUCUUUCACCGGUGAAGAUAAUGACGGUAACCGGAGAAGAAGCCCCGGCUAACUUCGUGCCAGCCGCCGCCGUAACA
rnacentral:rRNA from 1 species